rnacentral:tRNA from 1 species
AUUUAAAUAGUUUAAAUAAAAUAUUGAUUUGUGGUGUCAAAGAUGUAGUUGUACUUUAAAUU